rnacentral:rRNA from 1 species
UGGGGAAUAUUGCACAAUGGGCGCAAGCCUGAUGCAGCCAUGCCGCGUGUAUGAAGAAGGCCUUCGGGUUGUAAAGUACUUUCAGUCGGGAGGAAGGUGUCAAGGUUAAUAACCUUGGCAAUUGACGUUACCGACAGAAGAAGCACCGGUUAACUCCGUGCCAGCAGCCGCGGUAAUACGGAGGGUGCAAGCGUUAAUCGGAAUUACUGGGCGUAAAGCGCACGCAGGCGGUUGAUUGAGUCAGAUGUGAAAUCCCCGGGCUAAACCCGGGAAUUGCAUCUGAUACUGGUCAGCUAGAGUCUUGUAGAGGGGGGUAGAAUUCCAUGUGUAGCGGUGAAAUGCGUAGAGAUGUGGAGGAAUACCGGUGGCGAAGGCGGCCCCCUGGACAAAGACUGACGCUCAGGUGCGAAAGCGUGGGGAGCAAACAGG